GACGAACGCUGGCGGCGUGCUUAACACAUGCAAGUCGAACGGAAAGGCCCUGCUUUUGUGGGGUGCUCGAGUGGCGAACGGGUGAGUAACACGUGAGUAACCUGCCCUUGACUUUGGGAUAACUUCAGGAAACUGGGGCUAAUACCGGAUAGGAGCUCCUGCUGCAUGGGGGGGGUUGGAAAGUUUCGGCGGUUGGGGAUGGACUCGCGGCUUAUCAGCUUGUUGGUGGGGUAGUGGCUUACCAAGGCUUUGAAGGGUAGCCGGCCUGAGAGGGUGACCGGCCACAUUGGGACUGAGAUACGGCCCAGACUCCUACGGGAGGCAGCAGUGGGGAAUAUUGCACAAUGGGCGGAAGCCUGAUGCAGCAACGCCGCGUGCGGGAUGACGGCCUUCGGGUUGUAAACCGCUUUCGCCUGUGACGAAGCGUGAGUGACGGUAAUGGGUAAAGAAGCACCGGCUAACUACGUG
rnacentral:rRNA from 1 species